rnacentral:lncRNA from 1 species
UACGAAGAUUAGAGCGAUGACGGGCCGAUGGAGCGAGCACACGUGGUGGCAUGUGGGAUAGCCGCGAGCAUGCAGCCCAGCGUGCAGUUGCGCGGGCAUACGUGGUGCAUGGCCCAUGCCCAAGUGGAUGCACGAGCAGGCGCGGCCGAUGCCAGGGGGCGCACGCAGGCAUAGCUCACAUGGUUCUCUCACGCAGUCC